rnacentral:rRNA from 1 species
GACGAACCGUGCGAACGUUAUUCGGAAUCACUGGGCUUAAAGCGCGUGUAGGCGGGCCGCCGCGUCGGUUGCUGAAAUCCCCCGGCUCAACCGGGGAACGGGCAGCGAUACGGGCGGCCUGGAGGGGGGUAGGGGGGGCCGGAACUCACGGUGGAGCGGUGAAAUGCGUAGAUAUCAUUUGGAACGCCAAUGGUGAAAACAGGUAGCUGGGAGUGUGCUGACGCUGAGACACGAAAGCCAGGGGAGCAAACGGG